GGUUGCAAUUAUACCAGCACUAAUGCACCGUAUCCCAUCAGAACUCCGAAGUUAAGCGUGCUUGGGCGAGAGUAGUACUAGGAUGGGUGACCCCCUGGGAAGUCCUCGUGUUGCAACCCC
rnacentral:rRNA from 1 species